CCUACGGGAUGCAGCAGUGGGGAAUAUUGCACAAUGGGCGCAAGCCUGAUGCAGCCAUGCCGCGUGUAUGAAGAAGGCCUUCGGGUUGUAAAGUACUUUCAGCGGGGAGGAAGGUGUUGAGGUUAAUAACCUCAGCAAUUGACGUUACCCGCAGAAGAAGCACCGGCUGACUCCGUGCCAGCAGCCGCGGUAAUACGGAGGGUGCAAGCGUUAAUCGGAGUUACUGGGCGUAAAGCGCACGCAGGCGGUCUGUCAAGUCGGAUGUGAAAUCCCCGGGCUCAACCUGGGAACUGCAUUCGAAACUGGCAGGCUGGAGUCUUGUAGAGGGGGGUAGAAUUCCAGGUGUAGCGGUGAAAUGCGUAGAGAUCUGGAGGAAUACCGGUGGCAAAGGCGGCCCCCUGGACAAAGACUGACGCUCAGGUGCGGAAGCGUGGGGAGCAAACAGGAUUAGAUACCCCCGUAGUC
rnacentral:rRNA from 1 species